rnacentral:snRNA from 1 species
AACUCACCUGCCGAAUCA